rnacentral:rRNA from 1 species
UACGGGGGGGGCAAGCGUUGUUCGGAAUUACUGGGCGUAAAGGGCGCGUAGGCGGCCAUCUAAGUCAGACGUGAAAUCCCCCGGCUUAACCUGGGAACUGCGUCUGAUACUGGACGGCUUGAGUAUGGGAGAGGGAUGUAGAAUUCCAGGUGUAGCGGUGAAAUGCGUAGAUAUCGGCAGGAACACCCAGGGAGAAAUCAGCCGCCUGGGCAAGUGCUGACGCUGAGGUGCGAAAGCGUGGGGAGCGAACCGG